rnacentral:tRNA from 1 species
GUGGGUAUAGCUCAGUGGUAGAGAGCAUACUUUGCAUGCAUGAGGUCCUGGGUUCAAUCCCCAGUACCUCA